CUUGGGAUAGGGGAGACUUCUUAGUUUAGGAGGCUACACCAUUCUUUGGACUUUCUUUUCAUGAAGGACAGAUUUUUUUUUCUUUUUUGAGGCAGAGGGAAGAUUCUUUAGUUUAGAAUACACUGUCCUUUACUGCAGAUCCUAAAAGCACAAAAAGGAAGACAGGUACCAUAUUCAUCUGGCUGCUUCCUGAUGAGUUGGGGCAGAGUUGGAUUUUCAGAGCUGGAGUUCAGCGUUGUGUAGUCCAGAAAGUGCAAAUGGAUCAGCAACUCAGACUGACCAUGAUCCAUGGGACUCCAAAGACACUAUGCUGAGCAGUUUCCGGCUGAAGCAAUAGCUUUUAGCAAGAUCUGGAUGGUCCUUCAGAUCAAAGAGAAGCUAGACACAGAAUUUUAGGGGACUUCUUUUACUUACAGAACAGCUCUAAGAUUUGCUGAAAGCAAGAUCAACAUUAUUUCUAUUAGGAAACUAACUCUGAAGACCUGACUGGCCUUGAACUCAGAGAUCUACCUGCCCCUCCUCCGGAGUGCUGGGAUUAAA